rnacentral:lncRNA from 1 species
GAAAUACUUUGUUACAGGACACCCAUCAGAGGUGACAUGACGUGCAUAGAUUCUUGUAAUAAGGAACUGAAAGUGCUAUUAUAUACAUUUCACAAAAGUAGGUCCUUCCACUAGUUUUUGUCUCAAGCGACUAUUAAUAAGGGAGGUGUUUUGGAUCCUCAUUAGAAAGCAAGUAAUUGCAAGAGUGUUGUCAUGGUGCUCUUAUCAGAAAAGUGGUAGCUCUGAAGAAAUCAUGAAAAUGGACAUGGAAUUUGAAAAGAAGACGACUUUACACAAAGAUCGUUGUAGCAGGAAAACUGGCAUCCUCCUAAUUCUAGGAGUUUGCAUGAUUGUCUUCAUGACCAUGACUUUUGUCAUCUUUUUGCAUCAACAAAAAAAAUUUCUCGAUGUUGGAGAGUUGGAUGAACAGUCAGAGUUCAAAUCUGACUUCAGUCAAUCCUGAUCUUCAGAAAACAGGUGAGAACUUAAACAAUACUUUUACACAAAUUAGCUGAAAACAUCCUCAUCCUCAGAGAUCAUCCGAGAUGCAGAUUUAGCGGACAUAGCAUUGCAU